AUGGAGCAAUUGGAGAAGAGGAUGGAUGCUGCUGAACAACAAAUCAAAGAGCUGCGUGAAGAUCUUAAUAGGAGAUUUGACCAGCCGGUUGAGAUGAUAAGAAAGGGUGUCCCCCCUGCUACCAAUGAAGGAGAUUCAUCUAAAGAAGAGGAAGAUGUUCAUCAAGGAAGGAGAGGUAAUCUUGGAGCAAGACCGCCACGACAACAUGUUGUUCAACGUGCUUCAAGAAGGCCAAUUUAUGUUGAGGCUUCUGAAGGUGAAGAAUAUGAUGAUGCCCUUGAAGAGCCAAAUCUCUACGCAUAUCGGAGAGCACCCAACCCUACAUAUGCAAGAGAUACAUACAAGGUGAAAGCUGAGAUCCCAAGUUUUAAUGGAAAUGUUGACAUUGAAGGGUGCCUGGAUUGGUUAUAUGAAGUGGAGACUUUCUUUGAGGUCAUGGAGGUUCCGGAAGAUCGUAGAGUUCCUUUGGUCGCAUACAAACUGAAAGGAGGAGCCGGUGCAUGGUGGCAUCGCGUUCAAGAGGAGCGCAGGCUCAGAGGAGAACCUCGUGUUAGAACUUGGCGACAAAUGAAAGGCCUCUUGAAAGGGAGAUUUUUGCCCGCUGAUUAUGACCAGAUCCUAUUUAUCCAAUUUCAAAAUUGCGCUCAAGGAAAUAGGACUGUUUCAGAUUACACGGAGGAGUUUCUAAGGCUACAAGUGAGGUGCAACCUUGCUGAAACUGAAGAGCAACAAGUUGCAAGGUACAUCAAUGGUCUCAAUGAUGCUAUUCAAGAUCGAUUGAUGAUGCAACAAAUCUGGUCCGUUGAUCAAGCACAAGCUCUAGCCUUAAAGGCCGAGAGGUUUGUGAGGAUGAGAAAGACAACUAAGGCUCCAUAUCCUCCAUAUCCUCAUACCGAAGGCUCAUCUAGGAGCCAACCUAAUAGAGUGGAAGAAAAGACCACUCCACCAAAGACAAAACAGCCCAUCCCGAAGCAAACUAGAGGCAAGGGUAAGGCAAAUGAAGGCCCAAAGUGCUAUAAAUGUGGUAAAGAGGGACACAUAUCCAGCGGCUGCCCACUAAGGAAAUUUGUUAACACGACUAUCCAUGAUGGUGAAAGCGACGAGGAAGAAUACGAAUCUGAAGAUGUAGACGGACAAGAGGUUUGUCAAGAAGAAGGUGAAGAGGUGGUAUGUGUGAUCCAGCGUGUCCUAUGUUCCAUACCACAACUCGAUGACACACAACGGAAGAAAAUAUUUGAGAGCAAAUGCACGGUGAAUGGCAAGGUAUGCAAACUAGUGAUUGAUAGUUGCAGCUGCGAGAAUCUUAUCUCCCAGAAGUUGGUGGACCAUUUAAAGCUUGAAACCCAUGAUCAUCCAAAUCCCUACACUAUUGGAUGGAUCAAGAAAGGAGUGAAUAUGAGGAUCACCAAACAAUGCAACCUGCCACUUUCUUUGGGUAAGCAUUAUCGCUCAAAUGUGUUGUGUGAUGUGGUUGACAUGGAUGCCAGCCAUGUUCUUCUUGGGAGGCCUUGGCAAUUUGAUGUGGAUACUACACACAAGGGCAAGGAAAAUUCUUACUCUUUCAUUUGGAACAAGAGAAGGAUCAUUAUCUUACCAAACAAACCCGAAGGUAAUACCUCUAAGGAGGAGGGGAAAACUAUGUUAACUAUCUCCCAUACCUCUCAUGAGUUUAUGGAAGACUUGAAGGAGGCAGAUUUGUGUGCUGCACUUGUUGUAAAGGGAGAAGAGCACCUGACUGUUGAAAUUCCAGCAAAGGUACGUGGUUUAUUGGCAGAAUUUCAGAACAUACUUGGGGAGCCACAUGGCUUGCCACCGAUGAGAGGAAUUCAACAUAGAAUUGACUUAAUUCCGGGAGCAAGUCUUCCUAAUCUUCCACACUAUCGAAUGAGCCCAAAGGAGCAUGGUAUAUUGAAGGAGAAAGUGGAGGAAUUGUUGCAGAAGGGGCACAUUCGAGAAAGUAUUAGCCCAUGUGUUGUACCAGCCCUACUCGCGCCAAAGAAAGAUGGAUCUUGGCGCAUGUGUACGGACAGUAGAGCCGUUAACAAGAUCACCGUAAGGUAUAGAUUCCCUAUUUCCCGUCUGGAUGAUAUGUUGGAUCAGCUUAGUGGAGCAAGAGUGUUCACAAAGCUAGAUUUAAGAAGUGGAUAUCAUCAAAUCCGUAUAAGACCCGGGGAUGAAUGGAAGACCGCCUUCAAGACAAAGGAAGGGUUGUUUGAAUGGCUAGUCAUGCCAUUUGGACUCUCAAAUGCACCAAGUACCUUUAUGCACUUAAUGAAUCAAGUCCUUAGACCCUUCUUAUCCCACUUUGUUGUGGUCUAUUUCGAUGACAUCUUGAUCUAUAGCAAGGAUGAGGAUGAACACUUUGAUCACAUUCGGAAGGUGCUAGAAGUACUAAGGGAAAAUGAGCUCUACGUCAACUUGAAGAAAUGUGUUUUCCUGCAAACACAACUUCUUUUCCUAGGAUUCGUCAUAACAUGUGACGGCAUUCGUGUUGAUGAUUCUAAGGUUGAAGCAAUCCGAGAAUGGCCAACUCCUAAGACCAUUUCUGAGGUAAGAAGCUUUCAUGGCCUUGCAACUUUCUAUAGGCGAUUUGUUAAGAAUUUCAGCACUAUCAUGGCACCAAUUACCGAGUGUUUGAAGAAAGGAAAGUUCCAAUGGGCAGAAGCAGCUGAAGCUAGCUUCAAUGAGAUUAAACAAAAGCUAUCACAAGCUCCUGUCUUGGUACUACCUGAUUUCAACAAGACUUUUGAGUUGGAGUGUGAUGCAAGUGGAGUAGGCAUUGGAGCUGUCCUAUCUCAAGAAAGGAAGCCCAUUGCUUUCUUUAGUGAGAAGUUAAGUGAAGCUAGACAGAAAUGGAGUACCUAUCAGCAAGAAUUAUACGCCGUUUUCAGAGCGUUGAAAACUUGGGAAGUCUAUUUGCUGCCUAAAGAGUUCAUUGUUUAUAGCGACCAUCAAUCCUUGAAGCAUUUUAGAAAUCAAAAGCAUGUUGACCGCAUGCUAGCAAGAUGGGCAGCAUAUCUUGAGAGGUUUAACUAUCUCAUCGUGCAUAAAUCUGGAAUAACUAACAGAGUGGCCGAUGCUUUGAGUCGUCGUGCAUUCCUCUUGACUUCUUUUGAAGUUGAACUUCCGGGCAUGGUUCAAAUAAAGGAGUUGUAUGAGGGUGACGAAGACUUUGGCCAUGUUUGGGUAAAGCACGCAAGGGGCCAACCAUUAGGUGAUGACUAUUUGAUGCAAGAUGGAUAUCUCUUCAAAAAUGAUCGUUUGUGCAUUCCAAGUUCUCUACGUGACAAGCUGGUUAGAGAGCUCCAUUCAAGUGAUCUUAGUGGCCAUGUUGGACGGGACAAGACUAUCGCUAACCUGGAAGCUCGCUACUUUUGGCCACAACUAAAGAGAGAUGCUGGAAAGUUCGUUCAACGGUGCCCCGUAUGUCAGACCUGCAAAGGCCAAGUCCAGAACACAGGGUUAUACAUGCCUUUGCCUGUUCCUGUUGCUCCAUGGGAGGACAUUUCUAUGGACUUCGUCUUGGGCUUGCCAAGAACAAGACGAGGAAGUGAUGCUGUAUUUGUGGUCGUGGAUAGAUUCUCUAAGAUGGCUCAUUUCAUCCCAUGCCGCAAGACAACGGAUGCUCAUCAUGUGGCAAACCUAUUUUUUCGAGAAGUGGCCAAACUUCAUGGAGUUCCAAGGUCCAUUGUCUCAGACCGUGAUAGCAAGUUUCUUGCUGCAUUUUGGCUCACUUUGUGGAAGCAAUUCAACACUGAAUUGAAAUUUUCUAGCACUGCUCAUCCACAAACAGAUGGACAAACGGAAGUGGUGAACAAGUUUUUGGGUAAUCUGAUCCGUUGCAUUUGUGGAGAAAGAAAGGGGCAAUGGGAUUUGGCUUUAUCUCUUGCAGAGUUCUCCUACAAUAACUCCAAGCAUAGAUCCACAGGAAGGAGCCCUUUUUCCAUUGUCUGCACUAAAAUUCCAACACAUGUGGUGGACCUAGUGAAGCUGCCAUCAAGGGGAAACUCAAAAUCAGCAUUGUCCUUUGCUGAUAAUUACACCGAGUUAUUUGAAGAGAUUCGCGGCGCUUUGGAAGCACAAAAUCAGAAAUAUAAACAACUUGCUGAUUGCAAAAAGAGGCCAAAAUCAUUCCAAGUCGGUGAUAAGGUGAUGGUCUACCUCCGAAAAGAGAGGCCGCCUUUAGGUGUUAAAGGGAAACUUAGGCAGCGAAGGUAUGGGCCCUUCUCUAUCAUGAGGAAGAUAAAUGAUAAUGCUUAUGUGAUAGAUCUUCCAAGUGGCAUGGGUAUCUCCAACACUUUCAAUGUUGCGGACUUGACUCUCUACCAUCCAGAAGAAGCGCUCUAUGAAGAUAACUCGAGGGCGAGUUCCAAACAACCAGGGGAGAAUGAUGAGGAACACUAG
rnacentral:rRNA from 1 species